AGGCCAGGCUGGCAGUUCUCUGCCAGCAGCCUGGGAGGCAGGAGCUCUGGGAGUGAGGAUGUGGAAAGGAGCCUAGUAGCAAGAAAGUAUUCAAGAUAUUUUCCCAGAAGAAUGGACAUAUGACACCAGAAUUGAAUAACAGAGCCAAGUCUCCAUUAAUGAGGGCAGUCCAUUGCAGUCAUCAAGACCCUCCUCCUCUUCGCAGAGAGCGCCCCCAGAACACUCCUCUCCAGGCCGGGUCCCAAGUGCCACAUCUUUUCUAACCUGAUUGUAGGAUUGUGUUUAUCCCCCUCAAUCUCAAAGUAUACUCGACAUGGCCACCCAUCAGCACCAUUUCCCCACUGAGCAAGCUUAAGAGGGUCUCAUUCAUCUUUUCAAGCUUGACCCAUUUUGAAGAGUUUCCUUCUACAGUACAAGGCGGCUAUAGUUGUAGAGUGAGGGGGUUUUUUUUGCAUAACAAUGUUGGACUUCAAUCCUGUUUUAGCCACCUAAGUGCUUGAUUGGAAAUGAACCUUUAUAUAAUAUUUCUCCACUCUUAAACUCUUCAGUUGUAAGGUCACUUACACUCACUGAAGCCUUAUUGAUUGCUUCAGGAAGGAGAACUGCUAAACUAGGACACACUACUGAUUUUUUUUUUUUUCUAUUCUCCACCAAUAUUUUCUCCAGAAUGUUUUCUUUUUCUCAGUUUCUUCCACACUUCACUCCAUUAAAUUAAAUAUCAAUCAGA